UGAGCAACCUGCCCUUAGCUUUGGGAUAACCCUCGGAAACGGGGGCUAAUACCGAAUGUUCACUGCCGGGCGCAUGUUUGGUGGUGGAAAGUUUUUCGGCUGGGGAUGGGCUCGCGGCCUAUCAGCUUGUUGGUGGGGUGAUGGCCUACCAAGGCGGCGACGGGUAGCCGGCCUGAGAGGGCGACCGGCCACACUGGGACUGAGACACGGCCCAGACUCCUACGGGAGGCA
rnacentral:rRNA from 1 species